rnacentral:rRNA from 1 species
CCUACGGGAGGCAGCAGUGGGGAAUAUUGCACAAUGGGGGAAACCCUGAUGCAGCGACGCCGCGUGAGGGAAGAAGUAUUACGGUAUGUAAAGCUCUAUCAGCAGGGAAGAAACCCACCCUCCGGGUCGGCUGACGGUACCUGACUAAGAAACCCCGGCUAACUACGUGCCAGCAGCCGCGGUAAUACGUAGGGGGCAAGCGUGAUCCGGAGUUACUGGGUGUAAAGGUAGCGUAGGUGGCAAGGCAAGUCAGAUGUGAAAACCCGGGGCCCAACCCCGGGAGUGCAUUUGAAACUGUCUGGCUAGAGUGCGGGAGAGGUAAGUGGAAUGCCUAGUGUAGCGGUGAAAUGCAUAGAUAUUAGGAGGAACUCCAGUGGCGAAGGCGGCUUACUGGAUUGUAACUGACACUGAGGCUCGAAAGCGUGGGGAGCGAACAGGAUUAGAUACCCUAGUAGUC